GUUGCCUUUCACAGUUUCGUCAUCUAUGGCAGGGCAAGUUUCGUCUGCCGUCUGAAGAGCGAACAGUUUCAGAAGCGCCGUGCACAUCAAUUUUGAAUUUCGACCCCGAUGGCCUCGGUGAUUAAAAAUUCUAAUUAUCCAGACCCAGUAACUCAACUUGCAACUAAGCUUAUGCUCUGGUAUAUCUAACUGUAACCCAUGAAUAUUGUACUGUACUACUUUUUUCUAUGUUUUUCCCCUCUGAUUUUAAAUUUCCUCCCCUGUCAUCUUGGCAGGUGAACCGGAAGUGCUGUAAGACCAAAUAAAAACGCGCCAAGUGUCUCAACGCA